rnacentral:rRNA from 1 species
CCUACGGGUGGCUGCAGUGGGGAAUAUUGGACAAUGGGGGCAACCCUGAUCCAGCCAUGCCGCGUGUGUGAAGAAGGCCCUCGGGUUGUAAAGCACUUUCAGUGAGGAAGAACGCCUGGUGGUUAAUACCCAUCAGGAAAGACAUCACUUACAGAAGAAGCACCGGCUAACUCCGUGCCAGCAGCCGCGGUAAUACGGAGGGUGCGAGCGUUAAUCGGAAUUACUGGGCGUAAAGCGCGCGUAGGUGGCUUGAUAAGCCGGUUGUGAAAGCCCCGGGCUCAACCUGGGAACGGCAUCCGGAACUGUCAAGCUAGAGUGCAGGAGAGGAAGGUAGAAUUCCCGGUGUAGCGGUGAAAUGCGUAGAGAUCGGGAGGAAUACCAGUGGCGAAGGCGGCCUUCUGGACUGACACUGACACUGAGGUGCGAAAGCGUGGGUAGCAAACAGGAUUAGAUACCCUAGUAGUC